ensembl:lncRNA
CAAAUAAAAAGUUACCUUAUGUUAUUUUUAAUUCUAGAGUUACCCGUUGAAGGGACAAUAUUAUGUUAAUGUUUACGUCUCCUGAGGUUCUGUUUUUCCAUAAGCAUUUAACUCAAACUUUCCUCUAUAUUGUCUGUAUUGUGUUACUUUUAUGAACACUGUAUGUAUGGUUAAAUUGCACAGGGGAAAAAGGGGAUUUAUUUUAUUAUUUUAUGACUUGGACAAAAAGGUGAGGUUGUUGGAAGUGUUCUGGCUUUGGCAGCCCACUUUACCUUUGAACUGACAAAAGACUGCAAUCCUGCUAUGUCCACUGGAUGCAGCAUCUGAGACUGUCACUUCACUGCAGUCACUUCACUGCAGUACAUUACCAUGGAAACCCCCCUGAGUGCUCCCUUCUUCUGUCAGUUCUGAUUGUAGAGGCGGAGUCUAAUUUCUAAUUUCUGUUCUCAGAAAAAUGUUAUGCUCGUGGAAUUAGCGUGGAUGAGUAAUCCUGAAUUCUGUGGUACUGUUUUGGUUGGCGUCUGUCUCACACUAUGUGGGAGUCUAACACACUGGGUGGUGCCUUCACAAUGCAACGUGUGGAUUUAUUCUGUAACUAGCACUUCAUCUGCAACACUGCAUUCUGAUAUGGUCAAACUACAUUUUUUUCAUUGCACGUCUAUUCUUUUUAAUGCUUUCUGAAAUACUGUUACUGAGGAAUGAUGAGUUCAAUAGCUCCUAUGCAGGUACUAUGGAACAAUGUUCACAGAAACCUGUGGCAAUACAUCUUAACACAAUUCAAACAGAAAUACUGUUUUACCUUGCACCUUGCCUGCAGUUACCAUGUACUACAUCAUAUAAUAGAAACUUGAUGUAAAUGUUUUGAUCAUCAGCAGGGGUGUAGUAGGCAUCCUACUGGAUAGAACGGUUUGGAACUUUUACUUGUAUCUUUGCACAGAAGUUGACACAGUAUUGACUGAAAGGGAAAUAUCACAGAUAAAAAACACGGGUGGUGCAAAUGCAUUUUCAGACGUCACGUAUGUAAAAAGACCUUUCUCACACACACGUGCACGCACACACACAAAAACACUGAAGAUUUUAACAAGAACCAGGGAUAUUAAUUGCAGAUUCUAUUAUUUGAUUUACAACAGUAUUGAUCAGUUAUGAGUAGUGUUACUGACAUUUAUUCAGCUUCUGUGUUUUUCCUUGUUUUCCUUAGUCUCCACGGAUACAGAGCUGCACUUCCUGUGGCGGUUAUCUUAAACCAUAACCACAUCACUAUGACCUCUGUGUACAUUGUUAUUUUUUUUAAACAUACCAUAACAACAUAACAACCUGAUGACUUCCUGGGGGGUAGCCUACAGAACCGAGCACAAUCAAUGAGUUAGUCAGCUAAUCAAACAAUAACUAUUGAUUUUCAGGUCAAUUAAAAUGUAUCCUUUGAUAUCAUUUUGGUUGUUAAGUCAUUAAGACUGUCCAUUUUGAGCCUGAUGUUCUAAAACAUGAUUUUCUCAACAUCUUAACAUUUAGGGAAGUCAGCUGGCGAACUAAUGGAUUCUACCUAGCAUUAAAACCUGGGCGGUUCGAGUACUGAAUGCUGAUUGCUGUGGUAUAUGAGACACACAAAACAGGAAUGACUCGGAUAACUAUAAUAACAAGGCAUAUCAGGGGUUUGUGUUAUAAUGCCGUAUACCAAGACUAAGUACUGCAUCCAGUCACUGACGCGUUGUGUCUAAAAAACAGCUCGUAGCUGUGGUAUAUUGGCCUGGCUUUUCCUACCUUAAUGUUAAAGUAUGACUCUGUUUGGUUAAACUGAUUUCAGGGCAUCAUACGGAUAUUUCAGGUCAUAUGUCUGUGGGAAUCUAGGCUACACCCAUGUAUAAUGUUCCCAUCCUUCUGUUCAAAAAAUACAUGUCACUACUUUUUUUGGGCAGAAAGUGCUUCCAUGUGAAAAUGAAUGGAGCUAUAGAGCAAAUAAAACAUGUUGAUUGGUAUGUCUGUAUUGUAGUUUUUUUAUAGCCUGGGAGAUAUAAGCUAUAAGGAACUUGGGGCGUUUAUUCAAUUUAGGAGCACCGUAUUUCCACUAGUCAACCGCAAAACAGGUCUAGGGCUGGCUUAGUACCUUUUCCAAAUCCUGACAUUACUGUAAAACCCCAAAUGACCUUAGGUCAGUGUUUAGGUUCUACAUUGUCCCACUCCAAGACACCCAGGG